GAAGUGUUUCACUGUGUGAAUGAUGGGACGGGAAAACUCGUGUUUGGAGACGGAACCGAGCUGAAAAUAGAGAAAAGGACAGAGUACAAGCCAUCCUAUUUCAAAGUGGGAAAAGGCAACAAUACGGCGUGCCUGGCAACUGGGUUCAGCAGACACAAUGCAACAUCACAUCAUUGGAAUUAUAGCGUGGAAUUCAAUACGACAAAAGCUGUGGCAAUAUCACCAAACUUGGAUCUGUACAACCAGGUGAUUUUUCCAGGGAAGGAUGCAAGGAUUUGUGAAUAUCCAGGCAGUGGUGACAGCAAAUGUGUUGAUGUUUUGGAGCCAGAUCCAAAGGUGAACCUCAUGUCUCUGACCAUCCUGGCUCUCAGAGUGAUCUUCAUCAAGACCAUCAUCUUUAACAUCAUCAUGACUCUGCGGCUGUGGAUUAGUCAGUAAACUUCACAGAAAUCCCAAGAGGACAACUUUCUGUGUGACUGGAUGAAACUUGAAGUUCACUGAGCUUCAGCGUGUAUAUCAUGUAUAAAUAUCAUAUUACCUGUUUAUCAUACCAUCUGUUAAUAACUCUCUAUAGAAGUUAUCCUUUAAUACAUUGUUGAUUGAUCCAAAAAGUUUGAUUUUAUGUUAUCUUUACAUAUUGUCACUGAUGUUUUUUAUGAAUGAAUUAAACUCUGUGUCGCUUGAUGAUGUAAAUGUCACAGUUAUGUUUAACAGAUUGUUCUUUCAAUUACUUCUUUGUGUGAUGUGGUAAUAAAAGCUAAAAAAA